CCCUGGUCCCACCCUUCUCCCAGAAUUCAGGCCUCCUAUCCAGCCAUUCUACCUAGAGGUCUCAGAAGGGCCUCAGAAUCUCAGGGAGUUUCCUUUUGAAUCAAAGCAUAUUAGAAUUUUGCAUUUAGGAAAUAAGCCAACAAGUGUUUUCGCAAUACAAGCUACCCAAUGUAGAGCUCGGCAAAACCUUGGCAGAUGGGCUGCAGAGCAAACAGCCUGUCCUUCCCGAGCCUCCAGGGCGCGAGUCAUCCUAGGUGAGGUGCGCUUCCCAAAGUGCCUGAAAGGUGCAUUAGAAUUGCUGGCAGAGCAUGAGGUUUUUCCAUUUACGGAGAGGAAACCUGGAUUUAAGAGGUUGAGAAACGACACUGGAGAGAAGGACUGUAUCCGCCAGGGAGCCAGCAGGAGCCGAGACCCUACCAAACCAGGUAUUUUUGGCAGAGCUCAGUGAUCUGACUCUUUAUCAUGACAAAAGUUUGGACCUGCUGCCUUGAGUAGAAGACAACCUGAAAGAGCAAGGGUGUGCAAGGUGGGUAAAGAAGGUUCCAUAUACAAUGAACAGACUCAGAGAGGGCAGCCAGGCCAGAGCCAUGCCUUCCCCUGAGGGAUGCAGGCAGCCCACGCCAGCCAGCAGGGAGAUGCCUGGAGAGAUAUCUCUCCGACUUCAUUCUCCUGGCGCAGCCAGUGCCUCUUCAAUGCAAAUGCAAGAUAUUGGGCACAGGGAUCUUGCUGGGAACAGGCCCUGGAGAAGAAUGUGAGAAAGAGCAGAAACAGGGGGACUAUAUCAGCACCAUUCAAGACACCCAAGACAGACUGAGGAUCGUCAUGGACACUGCAGUAGGGACCAGGAAGUAAACUAGAAGGACCCAGUGACCUUCCUGGAGCCUUCGUCCCUUCCCCUUAUUGACCCUCCUUUUGUAUUGUCUGGACGAAUUGCCAAUGAAGCCCUCACUUGAAAGGGUCUGUGUGUUUGUACCACCGCAGGGAAGGCUAAGGGAAAGGCAGGGGUGGGCAGGAUCCAGAGAGCCUGCCUUCCUCCCACCUCAAUGCCAUCCCUAAACUGUCUGAAAAGUGUCACCUGGCUAAGCAAGAAAGCCACUAGAGGCAUGGGGUAAAGAUGAAACAGGCAGGUCCCUGGGGGCUGGGUUUUUAAGGAGGAAGCAAUCUGAGACAGAAAGAUGAUGUUUCAAAAAUUUGUAAGGAUAAGAGAAAUGGUUUACCAAAAGCAAAACCCCAAAGCAGGGCUGAGCAUGUGUGUUUCUGAGUGCAGAACUGUUACCAGUGGGGUGGUCAGAGGAGGCAUGCUGGAACCUGUCUUAUUGAAUGCUAUUUUCAAUGGGGAAAUGGGAUACACAAAAGAGAAAUGACAACAGUGGGUGGUUAGAUUUUCAACCACAGGGAGAGAAGCUGCAGAAGGACCAGCCCAGGGCGCAGGGAAGUAGAAGACAGAUUCCGAGUGGACAAGUGUAAGGUGUGGCCCUGAGAUAAGGAGGAGGAUCCGGGUGCCGCUGAGCACAGGAGGCCAAUAGAAUGAUGGAGGACGAACAACCAAGCAAAAUAUAGCCUCAUCUGACACUUCACCCAAGCAAGGUGUUUCCGCACAGGAAACCCACUCACUCUGUUGUCGGUGAAGCAAGAUGUUACAAGGCUUUUUCUAGUCCAGAGAAGGGUGUCAGGCAGCUGGGGAUGGGGGUGUUCUAGAAAGAAGAGGGCUGGGCUGAGCUGUGUGUAGCAUCUAUCCAGUCUUUUAAGGAUAUGUCGGCAGGGAUCAUGAAUCAGCCUACGAAUACUACAAUAUCAGGGCUAAGGCAUCCCUUGGGCUGCAAGAACCCAUUGAAUAAAGCAGAAAGGGCAACACCCCAUCACCUUCUGGCUGGCUUUCACCCAGCCCUGAGGGCAUCCCAAAGGCUUUCCAGGACAAAAGGAGGAAAAUAUUUCCACCAGUGACUUUCCACACCCCCACAAAUGGCUCCUGCCUCUAGCCAUUCCAAAAAGACCAUUCCAGACUCAGAGCAGCCCACCUGCCCAAGCGGAUGUUAGGCGGAGAAGCCAAAGGCUCUAGGUCAUCUCCAGCUUCCUUUGGAACCUAAAAAGCAGAACUUGAUUGCAAUUGUCAUGCUGAUGGACAUGAGUGCAUAGGGGACCUGCCACACCCACACCUCAAGGGACAGGGAAUGAAGACCAGAAUAGUCAAGCCAAAUGACGAAGACCAGGAUACUCAAGUCAAAUGACAAGGUUGGUGGUAGAGGGAACGGGACCGGUGAAAAAGCAGCUGACACUAAAAAGUGGAGCCUCCAUCUGAAAAGUAAAAUGUGGGAGAGGGCCGGUGUGUCGAGGUGGAAGGAAAGGCAGCCUCCCUGAGAGCCACAGAGCGAGCCCAGGCCAUCACCGCCCACCUCCACCCAGGCUCUUCUGCACCACUGACCCACCAUUGCCCCCCGGACCUCUUCUUUCUCAUGCCUCAGAGUGGCCCAACGACAGGAAGAAGCCAUCAGAGGGACUGCUGCCGUCUAACGGGAUCCCCUAAGACUUGGUGGAACCAGAUGUGUCUAGUGAUUGCCCUGCAGUAGCCCUGACUUCUUUGGGGGUCACAUUUUCCUCGGGGUAUGACUGUCUUCCAGCCCUGCCACUGUGUUCAUCUACCUCUUCCCUCAGAAAUGUCCUGGGGCUUCUGCUCCUCUGUGUUCACCAUGUCUGGCUCCUCACGGAACCCUGUCUCUUGGCACUGUAUCUGCUCCACCCGUUCCUCUUUAGCCUUCUUGUUUCUCUGUACUUGCAUUCAGUGGGCGAGGGCCAAAAUCCAGAGCUGGUCACAAAGGAGAGUGCCAUAAUCCUGGGGAUAGAGCCUUGUGAUAUCUGAGGACAGAUGUCCCCUGCUCUUUACCCUGCCCUUCCCCUUGGCUGGGUAGCAGCCUGUGAGCCCAGAGGGGAUUGGGAAGGCAGGCCACGUUGCAUGAGGAAGCCGCAGACACUCGCUUCCUGGCGUCUCUUCCCCUUAUCCAAAACCUGUCUUUCCCUGAGGGUGGCUCCUCUUCCAAGUCUUCUGAAAUUUACAGUAAGGCUCUUCUCUUUUCUAUCUUCCCUCAGGCAAGGCCUCCAGGACUGUGCCUUACUGGCUUCUUUCCUCCCGCUCCUGACCAUUCUAAUUCCUCUUGGUGAUGCUUCCUCUUCCUCUUGGAGCCCUCUCAUGCCACAUGACCAUCUCCUUCCCAUCUUCAUCUAUCAACAACCCGAUGUACUUCCACAUUUACAUCCCCACAGGAGCUUAUUAGAAGAAUGCCUAGCACAUAGUAGAUGCUCAAUAAAUAUUUGUUGAAUGAAUGAAUGAA